GCUAACAGUGCAAAGGGCGCUAGCAGUGUUUGAAUACAUCUUCUCUCUUCCUAAUUCGAGGAGGCAGAGCAAAAAGUAAGUGUGCUAGUAACAUCAGUGUGCUUCAAAAAUCCUCUCAUCUCCCAUAUACCUUUAUGAUCUCAAAAUGGUUUAAUAUUGUGAGGAAUACUAGUAAGUCCUCUUGAGUGAGUAAGGCAAUUGUGACCUAGAAGAACCUCCAACGCCGGUGACGAGCUUGAGGAAGAAGUGAAACCUUAGUGGACCCUGAAGCUUCAAACCAAGGCAGCUUGAUUAUGGGAGCUUCUUAGUUGGUAACGCCUGGGAGAAUAUUCUUGAGUCUUGCAAAGAGGGAUAGAGGGUGCAGCUCGGCUGAUGGUCCCCAGUCGGCGACUUCCCUAUAGAUGAGGCUGCCGGAGGCCAGAGAGAGACCAAGGGAGGCAGCUAGGGUGGGGUCUCCCUGACCAGCAACCUUCCCCCAUGCAAGGUCGGCCGCCCUCACAACCGAAUUGCCCCCAAUCGAAAAGAAAAACUUUUUUUUUAAAAGAAAAAAAAUUCUUUUUAAGUUUUUGAAAGGGUAUUUAAUAAAAAUGGCUAAACCGCGUUGUUUUUAAAAUUUAAAUUAAUUUUUUUACGGAUUAAGUUAACAUCGUUACUCACCACGUUAGUAUUUUCAUGAUGAUCAUUUGACUAAAGACUAUUUUUCCGUUGGAAUGAACAUCCAGGAAACAUUCUGAUGGCAAAAAUUUUUCAAGUGAUGGACGGUGAAAUUUCCGAGGACCAAAUUGAUAGUUAACUCAUCAAAAGAUAAAGUCGUUCUGCAUUUUGGUCUUAAAAAUGGUUUUCUUACCGCCGUAAGCUUUACGUCUACUUCCGCAUGAAGGGAAUUAGCAGUUGACGUGCCAAUUACCCGCUUAGGACCGAAAUGACAGUGUUUACUCUGAAAUAAAAUUGAGUUUGUCAAUUACCUUUGUCUCUCUUAAAAUUUAUCCACCUUCCCAAUCCCAAUUGCACCUGCCCUCUCUAUGGGCCUAACGUAACGUGCAUAUGAUUUAUAAUUAAAUAAAUCUUAAAUGUUUAUCUUUACGAUAAUACUAUUCCUUUUAUAUGUAGUAUUAGAUGAAAUGAUAUAUUGUCUUGAACGUCAAUUUUAUUUAAUUAAUUAUAUCAUUUUUCACAUUUAAAUUAAUAAUAUUUUAUUAUUAUCUAUAUAUCUAUAAUAUCAAUUUAAGUACCAUUUAUUUUAAAAUAAUAUAUUGUUUUUUAAAUGUGUCAUAAUUAUAAUGUAGAACUAUAUAUUGUCUUUGCACUUUCAAUGUUAUUAACAUUCCUAUAACUUUUGUGAAUGCAAUUUGACCUUAUAUCCUUACAAAGUUCCGUGCAACAGUAUGGGGGUAUCAACUAGGAAUUGCUUGUACCUCCAUCCCUAUCAACAUGGAGAAAAUAUUAAGUGAGACUACCACACCAAGGUGAAAGAUGUAAGUCUGAUCAAAUGUCAAGAAUUUUUUUUUUUAAAAAAAAGGAAUAAGUGUUAUGAGUUCCACAUGAUGAUGUAUCAAUUCUAAAUGGAGAGUUACAUGAUACAGUGCAUAUGUCAGUCUCACCUAUUAUUUCUCAGCUACUAAGCCCGUAAGCGCCCUUGUAAUAGAAAAAGGAACAAAAAAAAAAGACAAAAUAGAAAAGGUAAAGGGAAAUUAAAUUGUAUGAAAGAUUAUAUAUUUCGAGAUGUCCCUUAUAUUGAUUGAGUAAUUUUUAAUUUUUUAAGAAAGAUAAUCAAUAAGUAGUUAUUAAUAUGUGCUGAUAAUAUGGACUAAAUUAGGACGACUCGAUGAACUUAAACCAAAUGAGAAAUAUCGAUAAAAUUCGUUUAAUCUUAGAAAGAUAGAACUUAAGGGACUCUCGAUGUGUCAUUAAGGGUUUCAUAAUGAAGCUUAAAUAGCACACCCAUAUACCGCUGGUCAGUUUUUAUAUAUUAUAACAGAUGGAUGAGAUUAAAAAAAAUAAAAAAAAAAAAGUAGUCUGUCACGCAAUUAAAUAUCAAUGAAG